GGGCGAGUGGCGAAACUGGCAGACGCAACGGUUUUAGGAGCCGUUGGGGAAACCCGUGGAGGUUCGACUCCUCUCUCGCCCA
rnacentral:tRNA from 1 species